UACGAAGGGGGCUAGCGUUGCUCGGAAUCACUGGGCGUAAAGCGCACGUAGGCGGAUUCCUAAGUCGGUGGUGAAAUCCUGGAGCUCAACUCCAGAACUGCCUCCGAUACUGAGAGUCUCCGAGUCCGGGGAGAGGUGAGUGGAACUGCGAGUGUAGAGGUGAAAUUCGUAGAUAUUCGCAAGAACACCAGUGGCGAAGGCGGCUCACUGGCCCGGUACUGACGCUGAGGUGCGAAAGCGUGGGGAGCAAACAGG
rnacentral:rRNA from 1 species